rnacentral:rRNA from 1 species
CAAUAGCGUAUAUUAAUUUUGUUGCAGUUAAAAAGCUCGUAGUUGGAUUUCUUUUAUGUGAAAGGGUUCGGAUGCUUUGCUCACUCUGUGAGCGACAUCUUCCUUUCAUAUAAAAUAUUUGUGAUUUCUUGUAUUUAGAAGAUUCGUGUUUGUUAUUUAUUUAAUAAAUAUGGAGAUUUUAGUACAUUUAGGAAAUUGCAUCGUUUACUGUGAAAAAAUCAAAGCGUUCAAAGCAGGCUUUAAGCUCUCUGAAUGUCUCAGCAUGGAAUAAAUAAGAUAGGUCUCAUCCUCAUUUUGUUGGUUUGCAAGGAAGAGAAAUGAUUAACAGGGACAAUUGGGGGUAGUUCGUAUUAGGUUGUCAGAGGUGAAAUUCUUGGAUUUACUU